UAAAAAAGACUCUCUAACUAUUACCUAUUUAUUUAAAAAAAAUUAAUUUACUACCUAACCUAUUAAUUUAUUUAAUUUUUCUCCCUCCCCUUUAGUAAAUUGGAGAGUUUUAUUAAAUUUAUUUAUAAUUUUUCAAAUUUGAUCAUCUUAAUUACUUUCUAACAAAUACAACUAUAUUAAUUAACAGUUAGUAACUAAUACAGUCAUUGAAUUUGACAAAUUUGAACUAUGGAAUAUUCUGAUUCGAUUAUUCGAACAACCCAACUUUUUAAAAUUUUAAUUUUACCAUCAAAUCUUUCAAUAUAUUCGAUUUAACUUAUUUGAUGAGUUUUUUUAUAAAUUUAUAAUUACAUAAAUUAUAUAAAAUAUACUAAUUAAAUUUAUAAAAAUAAAUAAUAUAUUUAAAUUUUAAAAUUAAAAAGUCAUUAUCAUCAACCGGCCAAAAUAAAAUAAAUUAAAAAUAUA
rnacentral:lncRNA from 1 species